GGCUCGGUAGCUCAGUUGGUAGAGCAAUGGACUGAAGCUCCAUGUGUCGGCGGUUCGAUUCCGUCUCGCGCCA
rnacentral:tRNA from 1 species